rnacentral:lncRNA from 1 species
CCAGCCUCCCUCCUCCUCCUCCUCCCACCGCCGGGUCCCCCCUGGCCCAGGCCCGCAGCUCCCCCCGGGUGCACCGGGACGGGCGCCCCGGGGAAGGGCAGGGGGCCCCCGUCCUGUAACAGCGCCCUCGUGGCCGCAGGCAGCCGGAGCCGUGUGUGCGUUCAGCAGCGCUUUAUUGUGUGCCCUCGGUACAGGCCCCGCGCGCUACGCGUGCCCCCCGCUCCCGCACGUCCCCGCACCGCGGUGCCAGCAGGCGUCGGCGCUCCGUGCCCACCGCCCGCCCGCUCGUCCCACGGAACCGCCGUCUCCAGGCCCCCAGAGGGGUCCGUGGGGGCCGCGAAGGGCAGCGGUGCUCGGAGACUGGGCAGCGGUGCGGUCAGGUGAGGCCGGGUCAGUUCAGCAACAGCACUGCGCUUGGCCCCGGCCCAUCACAGCCCGAUCGUGCAGCUGGGGGCGAUGGCACGCGGCGAUGGCAUGCAGCAAUGGCACACGGCGAUGGCACGGCGCUGCUCAUCAGGAGGCGACAGGAGCGGCGAGAGCGCAGAAACGCAGAGCCACGCUGGGGCACCUCGGGGUCAUCGCCGCCCUUCCUCAGGCUGCAUCCCCUGCUGCAGUUCCGCCUGGAAGAAAGAAAGAGCUCGCGAGACCUGAGCAUGCAGGAGCCCUUCUCCGAGGUGUUUCCGAAGGCUGGAAGGAGGUGCUGCCUGUACACGCGGCCUGCCGGUACCGCCCGGUACAGAGCGCAGAAAAACCCUGUGAAGCACUUGAACAUGAAUGGCUUAUGUGAAACUACGAUCGUUCCUUCUCAAGUCAGUCACCGUUCUCACGCUGGGGCUGCUUCCCCGUUAAGCUCCAGCUGCACAACCCCCGCGCCGCCCCAGACCGACGGCUCCGCUCAGCGUGCUCCCCCUGCCCGGCCGGGGCCGGUGCCAGCGCCGCACCACGGUUCGUCCCGGCUGUAAUUUCACCUCGGUGAAGGAACCUUACUGCACAGACCCUUAUAGGGACAAGAAAUACGUCUAAUUACCAUAUCCUUAGAAUAGACGUAAUAUAAAUUUCAUUACUCACUUAAAAGUUCUAAAGUUAACAGCAUAAACUUGAAGUUGAGUAAUUAAGUAAUCCUUAUAUAGACACUUAUUAAAGUAUUUAUACAUAUUAUCUUAAAUCUACAUCUAUCAUUUUGCCAAUUAAAAUUAGGACUUUAAUUGCAAUUAAGUAAUUUAAUUGCCAAUUGAACAGCAAAAUUGCUAAGUGACUAAUUUUAAUGCCUAUUUUAAUUACCAAUCAUGACUGGGGAGGGAGCUAAUCAAGCGGUAUCAGAGUAAUGAUGUGAAAAAAAACGGAGAACAAACAUUCAAGACUACAUGCUUUUAAAAAAGAACUCUAAAUUAAAUAAAUGCAAACACAAUUUUAUACA